rnacentral:tRNA from 1 species
GUUAGUAUGGCAGAGCUUGGUUAUGCAAAAGAUCUAAGCCCUUUAAACCGGGGUUCAAAUCCCCUUACUAACU